rnacentral:rRNA from 1 species
UACGGAGGAUCCGAGCGUUAUCCGGAUUUAUUGGGUUUAAAGGGUGCGCAGGCGGGAGAUUAAGUCGGCGGUGAAAUUUUGCAGCUCAACUGUAAAAGUGCCUUCGAAACUGGUUUCCUUGAGUGUAGAUGAAGUAGGCGGAAUUUGUGGUGUAGCGGUGAAAUGCAUAGAUAUCACGAGGAACUCCGAUUGCGCAGGCAGCUUACUAAACUACUACUGACGCUCAGGCACGAAGGCGUGGGGGUCAAACAGGAUUAGAUACUCUGGUA